rnacentral:rRNA from 1 species
CGCGGCCUAUCAGCUUGUUGGUGGGGUAAUGGCCUACCAAGGCGUCGACGGGUAGCCGGCCUGAGAGGGUGUACGGCCACAUUGGGACUGAGAUACGGCCCAGACUCCUACGGGAGGCAGCAGUGGGGAAUAUUGCACAAUGGGCGCAAGCCUGAUGCAGCGACGCCGCGUGGGGGAUGACGGCCUUCGGGUUGUAAACUCCUUUCGCUAGGGACGAAGCUUAUUUUGUGACGGUACCUGGAGAAGAAGCACCGGCUAACUACGUGCCAGCAGCCGCGGUAAUACGUAGGGUGCGAGCGUUGUCCGGAAUUACUGGGCGUAAAGAGCUCGUAGGUGGUUUGUCGCGUCGUUUGUGUAAGCCCGCAGCUUAACUGCGGGACUGCAGGCGAUACGGGCAUAACUUGAGUGCUGUAGGGGAGACUGGAAUUCCUGGUGUAGCGGUGGAAUGCGCAGAUAUCAGGAGGAACACCGAUGGCGAAGGCAGGUCUCUGGGCAGUAACUGACGCUGAGGAGCGAAAGCAUGGGGAGCGAACAGGAUUAGAUACCCUGGUAGUCCAUGCCGUAAACGGUGGGCGCUAGGUGUGAGUCCCUUCCACGGGGUUCGUGCCGUAGCUAACGCAUUAAGCGCCCCGCCUGGGGAGUACGG